AACGUAGGAGGCGAGCGUUAUCCGGAUUUACUGGGCGUAAAGCGCACGCAGGCGGCUCUGUGAGUCGGACGUGAAAGCUCCCGGCUUAACCGGGAGAGGCCGUUCGAUACUGCGGGGCUUGAGGUAGGGAGAGGAAUGCGGAAUUCCCGGUGUAGUGGUGGAAUGCGUAGAUAUCGGGAGGAACACCUGUGGCGAAAGCGGCAUUCUGGCCCUCACCUGACGCUGAGGUGCGAAAGCGUGGGUAGCAAACAGG
rnacentral:rRNA from 2 species